rnacentral:tRNA from 1 species
GCCCGCUUAGCUCAGCGGUAGAGCGCGUCACUCGUACUCGCGUGGCCAUGAUGAGGUCGGUUGUUCGAAUCAGCCAGUGGGCA